CCCAAUGUAGGAAAAAAAAUAUGCUCUGGAGAGUCUUAUAAUUCAAAGAAAAUGGACUGGGAUAACACUUGGGUCUUCAUACUACCAAAAUCCUCUUGAGCAGGAGGCUAAUAACGAAGGGGCCAGGGAAGGAGGCCAGUGCUACUGAGGGUUAUCUCACAGCCUCAGAUGCUGGAUAAGUCCGAGGAGGCAGAAUCGCUUUUGGAUGACAUUCAGAAAGGCCGGAGUGAUUAUUUGGAAGAGAAAAGCCUGCCUAUUCUUUUCCAAGGUGUGUGACUGUUCCCUGGGCCUGCCCGUCCACCGAUGAAUGACUAGCAAGCGGCUUAGACAAAGGAUGCACUCGGAACCCCACCACACCUGAAGCCACGCUUUGAAGGAUCUGCCAAGCUCACUUUUAAUCAUGAGAAAGAAAUUACCCACAUGGAGUCAGCAGAAAAUGAGAAAGUAGAGCUCGUGCUGCGAAUAAUUCCAGCAAGUGCCAAGGGGCUAGUUGAGGAAUGGCUUCAUGAGGUGAAUAUCUUUAGCUUGUACUUAGGGUUUGGCUAGCGUAUAAUCAUUUUCUCUUUUAGGAGCCAUGACUACCCUAAGUGUCUUUCCUAACUAAAGAGUGCUCAGAGCAUUUGUCAGGAUGUUGACAGAUUUGAUACCAGCCUCUCAUCUCCGUUGUUAUUUACUAGGACUAAUUUUACACUUGCAAAUAUGCGAAACUCAAUUUAGGCGGAGGGUCUCUCCGAGCCAAUGGCUGUUAAUCGCUGUAUGUAUUUGUGUGUAUCAUUGUGAGUGCACGUCCAGUAAUUUCUGUCUCUGUGUACGUAUGCACCCUUGUUCUCGUCUUCUCUCUGUUGUGCACGUAGGUUGGGAGGAUUGGACGGCCAAUGGGUUCUCAGAUGUGGUCCCAGGCUUUCAUUUGAUUUUUGGACCAGGAAAAAAGAAUGUGUCACAUCAUGAUGAAUGGUCAAUUUGAAUUUUCAAUUCGUAUGAAAGGAUAAGGGGGAGGAGGCUAUGAGCCCAGUGAUGAGACUAACCUUUUCCCUUUGGGAAGAGCAGGAUUCAAAUUAAACAUCACAUUCAGUGUGAAAUUAGUUUGAAGGCCUCUUUUUUUUUUUUUCCGUGCCUAGUUUAACUCCUUGAUGGCUGCUCUUACAGAGAGGAUCCCUUCCAUCAUGCCUCUGUGCCUCAGUCUAUUCCCAAUGGUCUACAGUUCCUCUUCCCUUGUUUUAUUUUCCCAAAGAUCCAGUCCAAGAAACCAUGAAAAGAAUAUUGAAUACUUUUCUAUUUUGAUAGCUUCAUUAUUCACAAGAUAAGAUUCUCCCUAAAACAUGUUAUUUCUUAGUUUCCCAAACUAAUGUCAGAA